rnacentral:rRNA from 1 species
GACGAACGUUGGCGGCGCGCCUAACACAUGCAAGUCGAACGAGCGAGAGAGAGCUUGCUUUCUCAAGCGAGUGGCGAACGGGUGAGUAACGCGUGAGGAACCUGCCUCAAAGAGGGGGACAACAGUUGGAAACGACUGCUAAUACCGCAUAAGCCCACGACCCGGCAUCGGGUAGAGGGAAAAGGAGCAAUCCGCUUUGAGAUGGCCUCGCGUCCGAUUAGCUAGUUGGUGAGGUAACGGCCCACCAAGGCGACGAUCGGUAGCCGGACUGAGAGGUUGAACGGCCACAUUGGGACUGAGACACGGCCCAGACUCCUACGGGAGGCAGCAGUGGGGAAUAUUGCACAAUGGGGGAAACCCUGAUGCAGCGACGCCGCGUGGAGGAAGAAGGUCUUCGGAUUGUAAACUCCUGUUGUGGAGGAAGAUAAUGACGGUACUCAACAAGGAAGUGACGGCUAACUACGUG